rnacentral:rRNA from 1 species
CUUGAUCUGAAAUCAGGUGGGAUUA